rnacentral:rRNA from 1 species
GUGAGUAACACGUGGGCAAUCUGCCCUGCACUCUGGGACAAGCCCUGGAAACGGGGUCUAAUACCGGAUGACACCCCCUCUCGCAUGGGAGGGGGUUGAAAGCUCCGGCGGUGCAGGAUGAGCCCGCGGCCUAUCAGCUUGUUGGUGAGGUAGAAGCUCACCAAGGCGACGACGGGUAGCCGGCCUGAGAGGGCGACCGGCCACACUGGGACUGAGACACGGCCCAGACUCCUACGGGAGGCAGCAGUGGGGAAUAUUGCACAAUGGGCGAAAGCCUGAUGCAGCGACGCCGCGUGAGGGAUGACGGCCUUCGGGUUGUAAACCUCUUUCAGCAGGGAAGAAGCGAAAGUGACGGUACCUGCAGAAGAAGCGCCGGCUAACUACGUGCCAGCAGCCGCGGUAAUACGUAGGGCGCAAGCGUUGUCCGGAAUUAUUGGGCGUAAAGAGCUCGUAGGCGGCUUGUCACGUCGGUUGUGAAAGCCCGGGGCUUAACCCCGGGUCUGCAGUCGAUACGGGCAGGCUAGAGUGUGGUAGGGGAGAUCGGAAUUCCUGGUGUAGCGGUGAAAUGCGCAGAUAUCAGGAGGAACACCGGUGGCGAAGGCGGAUCUCUGGGCCAUUACUGACGCUGAGGAGCGAAAGCGUGGGGAGCGAACAGGAUUAGAUACCCUGGUAGUCCACGCCGUAAACGGUGGGAACUAGGUGUUGGCGACAUUCCACGUCGUCGGUGCCGCAGCUAACGCAUUAAGUUCCCCGCCUGGGGAGUACGGCCGCAAGGCUAAACUCAAAGGAAUUGACNGGGGCCCGCACAAGCAGCGGANCAUGUGGCUUAAUUCGACGCACGCGA